ensembl:lncRNA
UUCUUAUCCAAAUGCAGUUGACAGGGAGGGCUGUGGGCUUUCAGGAAACCUAACAGGGAGGGUAAGGGGUGAGGGGACUCCCCGUUCAGUGAACUAAAGCCCCCGAGGUUAGGAAACCCCAUCUUUCCCUCCCACUUGGUGUCUACCCUCAUCUAAGGCUAUCCCUUUAGAGACUGCCUCCUUAGAGGGGUCGGGCCCUCUACACCUCAGCCCUUCUUCCUGCCUACAUUCUUGACUGCACAGUCCAAACCAUCUUUCACUGAGCAGUGACAAGCAGAAGCAAGUACCACUUUGACUUGGAAGGAUAAGUAAAUCGAGGCUGAUUUCCCUAAGAUCUCACCAGGAGUAAUUGCCAAAGCUGGAAUCGAAUUCCUGUUGCAAUUUGACUCUAGAGCCUAAGCUCCUAACAGCUGGUAUAUACUGUCUCUCAUGCUAACAGCUAGUGUCCAGAGAGAGGGCACACAUGGUCCCGGGGAAUCCUCACAGCCACCCCAGGAAGAAGAAUGACGACAGCACCCAUUAAAGCAGACAACUGAG